AUAGCUGAACAUAACAAUGGAGCUCUAGUUCCAGGAGAUUGAGGAAGAGAAGGGGCAGUCUAAGGGAGAGGAAGAGGUGCCGUAUUGAACACAGGUGUCACAGUCAGAGGAAAGGGGGUUGCGGGCACUGACUCUGCAGAUGGGAAAGAUAUGGCUGGUGACUGGAUAUUUGGCUUAGAGACCAGCCCCAACCACUUUCCUUCUACCUUUAACUAAGAGCAAGGCUCAAAGCAUGGGAGAAAAUCUUGAGAGGGAUGAUUGUAACAUGAAAUGAGGAGCACACUGAAGCAUUUCGGGGUGAAGGGCCAUCAUAUCUGCAGCUUCUUCUCAAACAGUUGAGGGAAAAAGUAAUGUAUAUACAUAUUGAGAGAGAGAGAAAAGAAGCAUCGCGGUGAAAUGCCCUCUGCAGGCGGAAGCACUCCAAGCGUAGCUGUUCUCCACACAGCGUCUCAGGGAUCCUGGCUGCUUAGCGCUAACACUCCACCAUCUCCAGAGGCCCCAGGGGUCUGCUUAGCAGAAGGGAGUCUGUGGAGCGGUCACACUUGCUUUUCAGUGCACUGGCAAGGAUGUCACAAAUCUCCC
rnacentral:lncRNA from 1 species